rnacentral:lncRNA from 1 species
AAAACCUACAGCUAAGAAUCAAUAAAAAUUGCUGAAAACAGAAAACCCGAAAAACUGCAGAGUAACUCGACAACUUCGUUCGAGGUGUUCCCGAUCUCCAAAAAUCACGAAAUUAAAUCUGGAGUCUCCUUAUAUAUUUAAUUUUUGAUCUGGAAAUUUUGGGCACCAAAUUCAACCCGCUGAAUCUUUUUUUAAAUUUUUAUUGAAUUUUGUAUUUUUUGUUUUUUU